rnacentral:rRNA from 1 species
UACGUAGGGACCGAGCGUUGUCCGGAAUCAUUGGGCGUAAAGAGCGUGUAGGCGGCUUGCUAAGUCUUGCGUGAAAUCUCGGGGCUCAACCCCGAGCGGUCGUGGGAAACUGGCAGGCUAGAGUGCGGGAGAGGAGAAUGGAAUUCCUGGUGUAGCGGUGAAAUGCGCAGAUAUCAGGAGGAACACCGGUGGCGAAGGCGGGACUCUGGGCCGAUACUGACGCUGAGGAGCGAAAGCGUGGGGAGCGAACAGG